rnacentral:rRNA from 1 species
CCAACUGGGAUUGCCCUAGUAACGGCGAGUGAAGCGGCAAUAGCUCAAAUUUGAAAUCUGGGUCCUUUUAGGGCUCCGAGUUGUAAUUUGCAGAGGGUGCUUUGGCGUUGGUAGCGGUCUAAGUUCCUUGGAACAGGACAUCGCAGAGGGUGAGAAUCCCGUUUGUAGUCGCAUGCCUUCGCCGUGUAAAGCCCCUUCGACGAGUCGAGUUGUUUGGGAAUGCAGCUCUAAAUGGGAGGUAAAUUUCUUCUAAAGCUAAAUACUGGCCAGAGACCGAUAGCGCACAAGUAGAGUGAUCGAAAGAUGAAAAGCACUUUGGAAAGAGAGUCAAACAGCACGUGAAAUUGUUGAAAGGGAAGCGCUU